GACGAACGCUGGCGGCGUGCUUAACACAUGCAAGUCGAACGAUGAACUUGGAGCUUGCUCUGGGGGAUUAGUGGCGAACGGGUGAGUAACACGUGAGUAACCUGCCCUGGACUCUGGGAUAACUUCGAGAAAUCGGAGCUAAUACCGGAUAGGACCUUGCACCGCAUGGUGUGGGGUGGAAAGUUUUUCGGUUUGGGAUGGACUCGCGGCCUAUCAGCUUGUUGGUGAGGUAAUGGCUCACCAAGGCGUCGACGGGUGCCGGCCUGAGAGGGUGACCGGCCAGGCUGGGACUGAGACACUGCCCAGACUCCUACGGGAGGCAGCAGUGGGGAAUAUUGCACAAUGGGCGAAAGCCUGAUGCAGCGACGCCGCGUGAGGGAUGACGGCCUUCGGGUUGUAAACCUCUUUCAGCAGGGAAGAAGCGAAAGUGACGGUACCUGCAGAAGAAGCACCGGCUAACUACGUGCCAGCCGCCGCCGUAACAC
rnacentral:rRNA from 1 species